rnacentral:rRNA from 1 species
AGAGUUUGAUCCUGGCUCAGAACGAACGCUGGCGGCGUGCUUAAUAUAUGCAAGUCGAACGGGAUUAGGGGCUUGCUCCUAAUCUAGUGGCGCACGGGUGAGUAAUGCGUGGAUAAUCUGCCUGAUGAUCUGGGAUAACAUUUCGAAAGGGGUGCUAAUACCGGAUAAGCCCACGAAGACUUCGGUUUUUGCGGGAAAAGAGGGGGACCUUCGGGCCUCUUGUCAUCAGAUGAGUCCGCGUACCAUUAGCUAGUUGGUGGGGUAAAGGCCUACCAAGGCGAUGAUGGUUAGCUGGUCUGAGAGGAUGAUCAGCCACACUGGAACUGAGACACGGUCCAGACUCCUACGGGAGGCAGCAGUGGGGAAUUUUGCGCAAUGGGGGAAACCCUGACGCAGCAACGCCGCGUGAGUGAUGAAGGCCUUCGGGUCGUAAAGCUCUGUCUAGAGGAAAGAAGUGUGGGGCGGCUAAUAACCGUUUCACUUGACGGUACCUCUGAAGGAAGCACCGGCUAACUCCGUGCCAGCAGUUGCGGUAAUACGGAGGGUGCGAGCGUUGUUCGGAAUUAUUGGGCGUAAAGCGCGUGUAGGCGGUUUCUUAAGUCUGAUGUGAAAGCCCCGGGUUUAACCUGGGAAGUGCAUUGGAUACUGGGAGACUUGAGUACGGGAGAGGGUAGUGGAAUUCCUAGUGUAGGAGUGAAAUCCGUAGAUAUUAGGAGGAACACCGGUGGCGAAGGCGGCUGCCUGGACCGAUACUGACGCUGAGACGCGAAAGCGUGGGUAGCAAACAGGAUUAGAUAUCCUGGUAGUCCACGCCGUAAACGAUGAGUACUAGGUGUUGCGGGUAUUGACCCCUGCAGUGCCGCAGCUAAUGCAUUAAGUACUCCGCCUGGGAAGUACGGUCGCAAGACUAAAACUCAAAGGAAUUGACGG